rnacentral:rRNA from 1 species
GAUGAACGCUGGCGGCGUGCCUAAUACAUGCAAGUCGAGCGAACAGACGAGGAGCUUGCUCCUCUGACGUUAGCGGCGGACGGGUGAGUAACACGUGGAUAACCUACCUAUAAGACUGGGAUAACUUCGGGAAACCGGAGCUAAUACCGGAUAAUAUAUUGAACCGCAUGGUUCAAUAGUGAAAGACGGUUUUGCUGUCACUUAUAGAUGGAUCCGCGCCGCAUUAGCUAGUUGGUAAGGUAACGGCUUACCAAGGCGACGAUGCGUAGCCGACCUGAGCGGGUGAUCGGCCACACUGGAACUGAGACACGGUCCAGACUCCUACGGGAGGCAGCAGUAGGGAAUCUUCCGCAAUGGGGGAAAGGCUGACGGAGCACCGCCGCGUGAGUGAUGAAGGUCUUCGGAUCGUAAAACUAUGUUAUUAGGGAAGAACAAAUGUGUAAGUAACUAUGAACGUCUUGACGGUACCUAAUCAGAAAGCCACGGCUAACUACGUG